rnacentral:rRNA from 1 species
AGUCGAGCGAACAGACGAGGAGCUUGCUCCUCUGACGUUAGCGGCGGACGGGUGAGUAACACGUGGAUAACCUACCUAUAAGACUGGGAUAACUUCGGGAAACCGGAGCUAAUACCGGAUAAUAUAUUGAACCGCAUGGUUCAAUAGUGAAAGACGGUUUUGCUGUCACUUAUAGAUGGAUCCGCGCCGCAUUAGCUAGUUGGUAAGGUAACGGCUUACCAAGGCAACGAUGCGUAGCCGACCUGAGAGGGUGAUCGGCCACACUGGAACUGAGACACGGUCCAGACUCCUACGGGAGGCAGCAGUAGGGAAUCUUCCGCAAUGGGCGAAAGCCUGACGGAGCAACGCCGCGUGAGUGAUGAAGGUCUUCGGAUCGUAAAACUCUGUUAUUAGGGAAGAACAAAUGUGUAAGUAACUAUGCACGUCUUGACGGUACCUAAUCAGAAAGCCACGGCUAACUACGUGCCAGCAGCCGCGGUAAUACGUAGGUGGCAAGCGUUAUCCGGAAUUAUUGGGCGUAAAGCGCGCGUAGGCGGUUUUUUAAGUCUGAUGUGAAAGCCCACGGCUCAACCGUGGAGGGUCAUUGGAAACUGGAAAACUUGAGUGCAGAAGAGGAAAGUGGAAUUCCAUGUGUAGCGGUGAAAUGCGCAGAGAUAUGGAGGAACACCAGUGGCGAAGGCGACUUUCUGGUCUGUAACUGACGCUGAUGUGCGAAAGCGUGGGGAUCAAACAGGAUUAGAUACCCUGGUAGUCCACGCCGUAAACGAUGAGUGCUAAGUGUUAAGGGGGUUUCCGCCCCUUAGUGCUGCAGCUAACGCAUUAAGCACUCCGCCUGGGGAGUACGACCGCAAGGUUGAAACUCAAAGGAAUUGACGGGGACCCGCACAAGCGGUGGAGCAUGUGGUUUAAUUCGAAGCAACGCGAAGAACCUUACCAAAUCUUGACAUCCUCUGACCCCUCUAGAGAUAGAGUUUUCCCCUUCGGGGGACAGAGUGACAGGUGGUGCAUGGUUGUCGUCAGCUCGUGUCGUGAGAUGUUGGGUUAAGUCCCGCAACGAGCGCAACCCUUAAGCUUAGUUGCCAUCAUUAAGUGGGCACUCUAAGUUGACUGCCGUGACAACCGGAGGAAGGGGGGGA